AUGGCCAUGGGCGCGCACUGCUCGUGGUUGCUGAGAUCCCUCCUGCCGUCGCUGUGGGAGGCGGAGGUGGCCAUCUCCGCCGUGGCACUUCUCGCCGCCGCCGUCGCGCUGCUCCUCAUCCUCGAGGAGACCGCGUCCGCCACCUCCCCCUCCUCUCCCACGACUAAGAGCUAUGACCGAGACCGAGGGGGGCGGAGGCGGGGCAGCGCAAAGGGAAGCAGGGCGGCCGCUGAACCAGGAUGCGCCGGCGACGAGAUCACUCUUGUGGCUGACAGCUCUCGCUCUCGGAGCACCACCGCGUACGUGAUCAAGCUGGAGCUGGUGUCUGCCAAGUACCUGAUCGGCGCCAACCUGAACGGGACCGCCGAACCCUACGCCGUCAUCUCCCUCGGCGGGCAGAAGCGCUUCAGUCCCAUGGUGCCUAGCCAAAGAAAUCCCGUGUGGGGGGAGGCGUUCAGCUUCCUGGCCAGAGAACUUCCAGCUGAGGUAACCAUAACAGUUUAUGACUGGGACAAUGUAUGCAAACGCAAAGUCAUCGGAUCUGUCACUAUAGCUAUCCUCGCCGAAGACGAAACAGGAGCCGUUUGGUACGACCUGGACAGCAGAUCUGGUCAGAUCUGCUUGCGUAUUAGCUCAAAGAAAGUGUCGUCGACUUCUGACAGCUUCUUUAAGCAGUAUACCGGAGCCAAGUCCCAGAGAAAGAUGAUACUCACUAGGCAACGGUUGGCGAUGACUGAAGACAGUGGUCCUCUGCACGCUACAAUCGAGUUUCCUCAUGACGAAAUUGUUCACCACAGUUAUUCUUGUGCUCUGGAGAGGUCUUUCUUGCGGUAUGGGCGUAUGUGCAUCUCCUCAUGGCAUCUGUGCUUCCAGUCACACGUAUUCUCCAAGCAAUUAAAUGUGAUCAUUCCGUUACAAGACAUAUAUGAGAUAAGGAGGAGCCAGCACUCCCUUAUAAACCCAGCUAUUACUAUAUUUCUUCAUACCGACGCAGGUGGUCAUGGAGUAUCUCCAUUGUGCUGCCAAAAUGGAAGCGUAAGGUACAAGUUCACAUCCUUCUGGAACAGAAACCGUACAUUUCGAGCUCUAGAGACAGCGCUGCAGUGUUACCGAGCAACAUUGGAAGCCGAAAAGCAGGUGGGUGCACAUUUGCUUCUUAAAGGAGAGAGUAUGAAUGUUAUUAGCAGCAGAACAGACAACAUAAAGACAGAAAACAGAAGAAUUGGACUGACUAUCACAUUUCAACCUUUCGUCAAUGAACAUGUUCUUGUAGACAUAACCAGUAAUACCUUCCCUGGUACACCUGAGAAGUUUUUCACUGUGAUACUAGGUGAUGAUGCAAUGUUUUUCCAGCAGUACCGAAAUGCACGAAAAGAUACAGAUUUAAAGCUGAGUAAGUGGCAUGUCUCAGAUGAGUACGGUGGAAAUGUUCGCGAAGUAACUUUCAGGUCACUAUGCCACAGUCCUUUGUGUCCUCCAGACACUGCGGUAACUGAAUUGCAGCAUGUUUUUUUCUCAAACGACAAAAGAAACCUGAUCUAUGAAACAAAGCAGCAAGCACACGAUGUCCCAUUUGGUUCUUACUUUGAGAUCCACUGCAGGUGGUCUCUAAGGACAACCUCUAGUUCAACAUGUCAAGUGGAUAUAAAGAUUGGUGUGAACAUGAAGAAGUGGUGCAUUUUGCAAUCAAAAAUAAAAUCUGGAGCAACUGAGGAGUACAGGAGAGAAGUUUGCAAGAUUUUGGAGGCUGCCAAUGAUUAUGCCGUCAAAGCUGAGUCAAAUGGGCCAAAUAGGGAAGAUAUUGUGGUGACAUCUUCAGCAUAA
rnacentral:rRNA from 1 species